AAUGUGCUGACACUUGAUGUAGCGCAUAUUUUCUUUUUAUGUUAUAUAAAAAGAAAAUAUGCGCUACAUCAAGUGUCAGCACAUU